rnacentral:lncRNA from 1 species
CUUCUUCCCGAGACUAGUAAGGUUUGCUGAUUUCGUUUACCAGAAAUACAUUUUCAUCAAUGUUUUGUUACAGUUUUUUUUUUUUUUUUUUUAAGAUUAGGUGUUUGUGUUCUUCUCACAGUUUUAAAAUAACAAUAUAGAAACUGUUCAUAAGCAAACUGUUAAAAGAGAACAAAACAAAAGUUUGGAACCAAUAUGAAUCUACAUAAAAUCAUGAAUAGACUCGAAUCAUAUUAUAAUGAAAUCAAAAAUUUAUAUCAAAUCAUAAAUCCUCAAUCAACUACUACAACAAACAAAUUGAGAAGCCUUUCUGUUCUUUGAUGGUCGCCGAGAUGAUCCCGCUUGGUCGAUUACACUACACAGGACAUGUUUCUUCUUGUCUGGGUUUCAAUUUCGCAGAUCGUUCUUCAUACGAAGCUGCAGAAAUAAAUACAGAGGAUCAUACAUGAGCUCUCCAUCUUUGCAUCUGUACAUGUUUGCAGUGAGAUAUAAGAGAGAGAGAGAGAGAGAGACUUACGCUCAGUUGGUCGAGAUAAUAGAGGAACGUGUAUUGCUGCUUUCUUCUUCUUUUCUUCAAUAUUACAUGAGAUUUCAUCUGUUAAAAAUGAAAUUCUUUUUGAGUUGAUUCUCUUCUUUCAUUGAACUCAGGUUACUACUAAGGGUAAAGGGGGAGACUGAUACCGUACCAUUGCCUAUAGGUAAACAGUUCCGGAGAGCCUCCUGGAAAAUCACGGACUCUAGUUGGUACGUCAGCGACUCUUUCUUGAAAUGAGAUCUCAAUGACUCUAAAGCACCUUUUAGACAUAAAAAGAAACUGUUACGAUCAUUUAGCUUCUGAAUCUCAGGCCAAGAUAUCGUGAACAAAGCGAAUUACCUGAAGAACAAAUGAAGUUCACAUUUUCGAAUUCGCAUGUACGGAGGACUAAGGGGAUCUCCGAGGCCAAGAGGUAUUGAGGCUUUUUUGGCGUUUUCUUGGUGUCCAACAAUG